ACCCUCAAAGAACAAAACACAGCCAUUCAAACUCUCACCCUAUGUCUAGGAGCCAUCACAACCCUAUUCACAGCUAUCUGUGCUCUCACACC